UAUUAGGUUGGUAAAUAAGUAAUGUGUUUUUUGCUAUUAAAAAUAAUGUCAAAAAGCUCAAUUACUUUUGCACCAACCUAAUAG
rnacentral:miRNA from 1 species